rnacentral:rRNA from 1 species
UACGUAGGGGGCAAGCGUUGUCCGGAUUUAUUGGGCGUAAAGAGCUCGUAGGCGGUUCAGUAAGUCAGGUGUGAAAUCUUUGGGCUUAACCCAAAGCGUGCACUUGAUACUGCUGUGACUAGAGUUCGGUAGGGGAGACUGGAAUUCCUGGUGUAGCGGUGAAAUGCGCAGAUAUCAGGAGGAACACCGGUGGCGAAGGCGGGUCUCUGGGCCGAUACUGACGCUGAGGAGCGAAAGCGUGGGGAGCGAACAGG